rnacentral:rRNA from 1 species
UGCCAGACUCCUACGGGAGGCAGCAGUGGGGAAUAUUGCACAGUGGGGGAAACCCUGAUGCAGCGACGCCUCGUGAGUGAAGAAGUAUUUCGGUAUGUAAAGCUCUAUCAGCAGGGAAGAAAAUGACGGUACCUGACUAAGAAGCCCCGGCUAACUACGUGCCAGCAGCCGCGGUAAUACGUAGGGGGCAAGCGUUAUCCGGAUUUACUGGGUGUAAAGGGAGCGUAGACGGCAGAGCAAGUCUGAAGUGAAAGCCCGCGGCCCAACUGCGGGACUGCUUUGGAAACUGCCCGGCUAGAGUGCUGGAGAGGUAAGCGGAAUUCCUAGUGUAGCGGUGAAAUGCGUAGAUAUUAGGAGGAACACCAGUGGCGAAGGCGGCUUACUGGACAGUAACUGACGUUGAGGCUCGAAAGCGUGGGGAGCAAACAGGAUUAGAUACCCUAGUAC